AGUGAACGCUGGCGGCAGGCCUAACACAUGCAAGUCGAACGGCAGCACAGAGGAGCUUGCUCCUUGGGUGGCGAGUGGCGGACGGGUGAGGAAUACAUCGGAAUCUGCCUAGUCGUGGGGGGCAUAACGUAGGGAAACUUACGCUAAUACCGCAUACGACCUACGGGUGAAAGCGGGGGAUCGCAAGACCUCGCGCGAUUAGAUGAGCCGAUGUCCGAUUAGCUAGUUGGCGGGGUAAUGGCCCACCAAGGCGACGAUCGGUAGCUGGUCUGAGAGGAUGAUCAGCCACACUGGAACUGAGACACGGUCCAGACUCCUACGGGAGGCAGCAGUGGGGAAUAUUGGACAAUGGGCGCAAGCCUGAUCCAGCCAUGCCGCGUGGGUGAAGAAGGCC
rnacentral:rRNA from 1 species